CCGCCCGUCACAUCAUGAAAGCUAGUUGUACUAGAAGUCGCUGCGCUAACCGCAAGGAGGCAGGUGCCCAAGGUAUGACCGGUGAUUGGGGUG
rnacentral:rRNA from 1 species